rnacentral:rRNA from 1 species
UGAGUGGCGAGUGGCGAACGGUGAGUAACGCGUAGAAUAUACCUUAAAGAGGGGGACAACUUGGGGAAACUCAAGCUAAUACCGCAUACGCUCUUAGGAGGAAAGCUGGGGACCUUCGGGCCUGGCGCUUUAAGAAUAGCCUGCGUACGAUUAGCUAGUUGGUGGGUAAAGGCCUACCAAGGCGACGAUCGUUAGCUGGUCUGAGAGGAUGGUCAGCCACACUGGGACUGAGACACGGCCCAGACUCCUACGGGAGGCAGCAGUGGGGAAUAUUGGACAAUGGGGAAACCCUGAUCCAGCAACGCCGCGUGUGUGAAGAAGGCCUGAGGGUUGUAAAGCACUUUCAGUGGGGAGGAGGAUUGAUUGGUUAAGAGCUAAUUAAUUGGACGUUACCUACAGAAGAAGCACCGGCUAACUCCGUG